AGAAAAGGAAAUAGUAGGUGAAAACUGUUUCAAUAACUUAGUAAUGCGGUCGUGGUUUCAAGAUUUUAAGAAAGAUGACGACGGCAAUAUUACCGUCAAAAUGCAUGAUAUUGUGCAUGACUUUGUGCAGUUUCUUAACCGCGAGGAAUGUUACAUCAUGGAGGUUAAGGAUGCUAACAAGAGAAUUGAGCUACCAAGUGAUAAGGUCCGCCAUUUGACCUUAAUCCUUGCAUCGGAUGAUCGAUUUGCAUGUCCUGUUCCUCCUAUUUCAUUUGAUCAUUGCAAAGUUCUGCGCACCCUGUCAUGUUUCGAUUCAAGAAUCACUAUCUUAGACCGAGAUCUCAUUUUGCAAUUGAAAUGUCUUAGGACUUUAAAUUUGAGUGGUAACAAAAUCAAUGAACUUCCAAAGGAGAUUGGCGAGUUGAUACAUUUGAGGUACAUUGAUUUGUCUGGUAAUAAUCAUCUGAAGGAAUUACCAAACACACUGUAAUUUAUACAAUCUACAGUCCUUGCGCCUCACUGGGUGCAGGCACCUUGCAAAACUACCUAAGGCCAUAGGGAAGCUGAUUAACUUAAAGCAUCUUCAUAUUAAGAACUGUUAUACGUUGAAGUACUUGCCAAAAGGGAUUGGGAGAUUAAGAAGUCUGCAGGUAUUAGAUGGGUUUAGUGUACGUGCUGUUGACAACAGUGAAACACUCCAGUUAGGUGAUCUGGGAAUCUUGGACAAGCUUCAGGGUAGCCUUUUUAUCAAAGGGCUGGGGAAUGUGAGAGACACUAGUGAGGCUGAGAAAGCACAAUUAGCGAAUAAAAGACACAUCCUUCGUUUGGAACUAGAUUUUUCGAAUGGAGAUAAGCGACGACAAGGAGAAAGAGAUGGAGAAAUGCUGAGUUUCUUAGAACCACCUCAAAGUUUGGAAUUUUUAAGCAUUAGUGGUUACUGUGGCGGCACCUUCAGCUAUCCCAACUGGAUGAUUUCUCUACCUAAUUUGAGAACCCUUGUUCUUCGUUCUUGGAAAAAUUGUGAUUUUUUGCCUCCUCUUGGGAAAUUGCCGUCCCUUCAAACACUGAGCAUAGAUGAUAUGCCUAGUGUGAGAAAGGUUGGAGUUGAAUUUUUGGGAAUAGAAGAAACUUCAGCAUUGUUAAAAUCAUCCUCACCAACUGUUUCAUUCCCAAAAUUGAAAAAGCUCAGCUUCUCUGGAAUGUGUAGUUGGGAAGAAUGGGAAGGAGUGGGAGGGUUGGCGGAAGAGGAUUCUGAAGUUGGAAUAAUGCCAUGCCUUUCUUCAUUGGAUAUUCUUAAGGCAGACAGCCUACAAACACUGCCCGACUUCCUGCAAAAGACGCCACUGCAUGAUUUGACUAUCUAUAAAUGCUCUAUAUUUCUUGAACGCGGUUGCCAAGAAAGCAGAGGAGAGGAGCGUUUCAAGAUUUCUCACAUCCCAAACAUCGAAAUUAAUUAUAAGAGUGUUCGAGAAGACGGAGUUUGGAUCCAGCAAGAGGAUGAAACCGAGGAAACUGAUAGUUCUGAAUCUGAUGAGGAUGAUGAUGGGAUUGCACAAGAAUAGGAUGUCGUGUAUUACAAGUCAUCUUAGCUGCAUUUCCAUAGGUGCUCUGCCAAUCCCCUGUUCACUCCUUCUGAAAAUGCUUAUCUAUGGUCAUUAAAAUAGCAGCAAGUAUUGCAAGCAUCCAUUUGGGAGGCAGAAUUUAAAGUUGCAGUGGCUGGAGUCCCCAAGACAUGAUGGCCUUCUGAAGAACAUCACCAUGCUACAUGCACAGACCAUUCUGAAGCAUAAAGAACUAAAAACUGCAAUGGAGUUGACAAGUCCCUUAAUACAGAUCCUAAGUAGGAUUUUCAAGUGGUGCAACAUCAUCAAGGAAACUGGUCCAGCAUUCUGGCAAACAUUUGACUGAUUGAUGAGGCUCUUACCUAAGCUAGGUUGUGAUAUCGAAUGCCCAUGUCAUAGGCAUGGGAUUUUGUUAUUUCAGCGGCUGAAGCUUUUCAUGGCAUGGCAGCUGAUUUGGAUGCUCUACCCGGAAACAGAAUAGGACUGGAAGUUCAUGCCAUCUUCUCAUAAGCUCCUUCUGCUGGCUCAUUUGUUUUGGCCUGCUCCCGGACCAAUGAGCUGUGAUUGGACUAGCUUUAAACACGAAGAAAAAAUGAAACGAAAUGAACAAGACUCAUUAACACAAGUUGGAUCCCGUGUCCCCCCCCUUUCCCCCUCCUAAUCUGAAGGAAGGCAGCGCCGAUGCCCCCGAAUUUCUCACUUUUCUGACGAGUUGAUGCACAUAAAAGGUCUUAAUCAAGGAAUUGGCCGGCCCAAAAAUUUUAUAUUACAAUUUCAUACAACUACUUUUUCGGAGUGAGAAUGUCAAUAUACAAUUACUAGAUGUAUGGCUAUGACUAGAAUUUAAAAAGAAAAAUGCACAUUUGAGCAGAUAUUUGAC